rnacentral:rRNA from 1 species
GACGAACCGUGCGAACGUUAUUCGGAAUCACUGGGCUUAAAGCGCGUGUAGGCGGGACGGCACGUCGGUCGGCUGAAAGCCCCGGCUCAACCGGGGAACGGGCGCCGAUACGACCGCCUGGAGGGACGUAGGGGACCUGGAACUUCCGGUGGAGCGGUGAAAUGCGUAGAUAUCGCUUGGAACGCCAAAGGUGAAACGAGGUUGCUGGGAAUGUGCCGACGCUGAGACACGAAAGCCAGGGGAGCAAACGGG